rnacentral:rRNA from 1 species
UGCCGCGUGUGUGAAGAAGGCCUUCGGGUUGUAAAGCACUUUCAGUAAGGAGGAAAGGUUAAGUGUUAAUAGCACUUAGCUGUGACGUUACUUACAGAAGAAGCACCGGCUAACUCCGUGCCAGCAGCCGCGGUAAUACGGAGGGUGCGAGCGUUAAUCGGAAUUACUGGGCGUAAAGCGUACGCAGGCGGUUUGUUAAGCGAGAUGUGAAAGCCCCGGGCUCAACCUGGGAACUGCAUUUCGAACUGGCAAACUAGAGUGUGAUAGAGGGUGGUAGAAUUUCAGGUGUAGCGGUGAAAUGCGUAGAGAUCUGAAGGAAUACCGAUGGCGAAGGCAGCCACCUGGGUCAACACUGACGCUCAUGUACGAAAGCGUGGGGAGCAAACAGGAUUAGAUACCCUGGUAGUCCACGCCGUAAACGAUGUCUACUAGAAGCUCGGGUCUUCGGACUUGUUUUUCAAAGCUAACGCAUUAAGUAGACCGCCUGGGGAGUACGGCCGCAAGGUUAAAACUCA